GACGAACGCUGGCGGCGUGCCUAAUACAUGCAAGUCGAACGCAGUUGCGAACGGGUGAUUAACGCGUAGGUACCUGCCUCAUAGCGGGGGAUACCUAUUGGGAACGAUAGCUCAUACCCCCUACUGUGAGAUGGACCUGCGUUGUAUUAGGUAGUUGGUGAGGUAAACGCUCAACAAGGCGAAGAUACAUAGCCGAGCUGGGAAGGAGAUCGGGCACAAUGGGACUGGGACAAGGGCCCGAAUCCUUAGGGGGGCAGCAGUAGGGAAACAUCGGCAAUGGACGGAAGUCUGGCCGAGCAACGGCGCGGGGUGGGAGAAGGGUUUCGGGUCGGAAAAGUAUGUUGAUUGAGGAGCGGUAACUAACGAGAAAGGGACGGCUAACUACGUGCCAGCAGCCGCGGUAAUUC
rnacentral:rRNA from 1 species